ACUCAAAGGAAUAGACGGGGGCCCGCACAAGCGGUGGAGCAUGCGGUUUAAUUCGACGCAACGCGAAGAACCUUACCUAGGCUUGACAUGUACCGAACGCCUUGGAAACAGGGAAGUGCUCGCAAGAGAGCGGUAACACAGGUGCUGCAUGGCUGUCGUCAGCUCGUGUCGUGAGAUGUUGGGUUAAGUCCCGCAACGAGCGCAACCCUUGUCGUUAGUUGCCAGCAUUUAGUUGGGAACUCUAACGAGACUGCCGUGGUUAACACGGAGGAAGGUGGGGAUGACGUCAAGUCCUCAUGGCCUUUAUGCUUAGGGCUACACGCGUGCUACAAUGCAUCUUACAGAGGGCUGCGAAACCGCAAGGUCAAGCCAAUCCCACAAAAAGAUGCUAAGUUCAGAUUGGAGUCUGCAACUCGACUCCAUGAAGCUGGAAUCGCUAGUAAUCGCGGAUCAGAACGCCGCGGUGAAUACGUUCCCGGGCCUUGUACACACCGCCCGU
rnacentral:rRNA from 1 species